AGUCAGACAAGCCAACUGAGGUCUGAACCCUUGUUCUUCGAGGACUGCCUGUCAUGCUGGGAAAUGCAGACUCUUCUUUCUUCAUGUUUAGUGUCUGAUCAUCACAACACUAUCCUUGAUGUGCCAGUGGGGAUCUUAAUCGAGGACACAGCCCCCCAUCAGAUCUUCAGCCCCCCAACUCCUUGCAUUUGACUUUUUCCAUUGGAAUAAUUCUUGAAGGCCAAGUGGUGAUGGAAAAAUGUGGGACCUCCCACAGGCCAUCUGUCUUCUCUUCAGUUUGAUUUAUGCACUAGACCUGAAUUACCCAAAAUCACUCGCCAACACGUUUGAUUUCAUCCAGCGUGUACUAAUGACAAUGGGAUAGAAUGCUCUCAAGCUUAGAGUUCAGUCUCUAGCAAACCAGCUUUUUCCUUAAGAAACGUCUCUGUGAUACUUUAACACCACCCUUUGUAUUGGGAUUUAUCCACCAAUUAAUUUACUCCAUUAUCCAUUUAUGAAGAAUAAAAAGUAUGUUUAAAUAUUUAAAUACACAGAGUUCUACAACUGAUGUGCAGUAUUUAAUUUGGAAUAUUGUUACCAUUGUUACACCUCUGUAGUGUGGUUGUGACCUGGUAAUAUUUUAAUUACAGUAUAGUUUGUACUGUAAUGUUGUGACAUUUGGGCCAAAGACAUGUUCAGUAUGCAUUAUUUUAGUUUGCCGUAUUUGCACAAAGCUUAAAUGGUGAACUGUAGUAAGACUGUAGUUAUGUUUAGCCUACAUGUUCAGUACAUUAAAAAUUGUGAGGCAUAAAAAGUUUAAGUGCAAAGAGUCGUACAAUUGAUGUAAGUGCACUAGUUAAUGUUUUACUGUUUACAUUUUUACUGUUAUUACCAACUUCACAGUGUGGUUGUGACCCAGUAAUAUUUCCACUACAGUUUGUACUGUAAUAUUGUGAAACUUUGGUGAAAGAUACUGUUGAGUAUUUUUUAUUUUAGUUUGCUAUGUUUGCACAAAGCUUAAACGGCCAAAACUAGUUAUGUUUACAUUGACAUAAUUGUGAUACUUGAUUGAUGUAUAUAUGUGCAUAGAGUUGUACUAUUGAUGUACUACACUGGUUAAUUUUGUUACCACGUUUACAGUGUGGCUGUGACCCAUUUCUAUUACAGUAUAGGGUUUACUGUAUUUUCAUUAAUAUUGUGACAUUUUGUCGAUAAAAGGUCAAAGAUUAAA